rnacentral:rRNA from 1 species
CGUGGGGAACCUGCCCCAUAGUCUGGGAUACCACUUGGGAACAGGUGCUAAUACCGGAUAAGAAAGCAGAUCGCAUGAUCAGCUUUUAAAAGGCGGCGUAAGCUGUCGCUAUGGGAUGGCCCCGCGGUGCAUUAGCUAGUUGGUAAGGUAAAGGCUUACCAAGGCGAUGAUGCAUAGCCGAGUUGAGAGACUGAUCGGCCACAUUGGGACUGAGACACGGCCCAAACUCCUACGGGAGGCAGCAGGC